rnacentral:rRNA from 1 species
UACGUAGGGGGCUAGCGUUGUCCGGAAUCAUUGGGCGUAAAGCGCGUGUAGGCGGUCCGGUAAGUCCGCUGUGAAAGUCGGGGGCUCAACCCUCGAAUGCCGGUGGAUACUGUCGGGCUAGAGUGCGGAAGAGGCGAGUGGAAUUCCUGGUGUAGCGGUGAAAUGCGCAGAUAUCAGGAGGAACACCAAUUGCGAAGGCAGCUCGCUGGGACGUUACUGACGCUGAGGCGCGAAAGCUAGGGGAGCAAACGGG